AUUGAACGCUGGCGGCAGGCCUAACACAUGCAAGUCGAGCGGAGCGGCGGACGGGUGAGUAAUGCCUAGGAAUCUGCCUGGUAGUGGGGGAUAACGUCCGGAAACGGGCGCUAAUACCGCAUACUAUCAGAUGAGCCUAGGUCGGAUUAGCUAGUUGGGGGGGUAAAGGCCUACCAAGGCGACGAUCCCUAACUGGUCUGAGAGGAUGAUCAGUCCCGCUGGAACUGAGACACGGUCCAGACGCCGACGGGAGGCAGCAGUGGGGAAUAUUGGACAAAGGGCGAAAGCCUGAUCCAGCCAGGCCGCGUGUGUGAAUAAGGUCUGCGGAUUGUAAGGCACUUUAAGUUGGGAGGCGUUACCAACAGAAUAAGCACCGGCUAACUUCGUGCCAGCAGCCGCGGUAAUAC
rnacentral:rRNA from 1 species